UGUAAGGUGCCUGAUUAAAGGUUAAUUUUGAUAGAAUUAAUAAUGUAUAUUUAUACCCUUACAA
rnacentral:tRNA from 1 species